rnacentral:lncRNA from 12 species
UACUGUCUUUGCCCCCUCCUCUCCUUCUUUCCCACUGGAUUGCUCUCUCCCCUCUUAUUCCGAGGGUCUAAUUAGACUAAUGGCUGCUGCUUGCAGUGACCUUAUGUCUGUUGAAAAACAAAACAAAACACAAAAAAAUAAAGGCUCUCUUUGGUUUGAGUUCCCCGAUGGUCUUUGCAUGUGGCUGCCCCAGCUUCUGAAUUCCAUAUUUCUUUUCUCUUUCAAAUGCCUGAUCCUACUUGUGCUGCAUAGCGGAAUUAAUGAUGUGUAUUUGAAAAAGGCUUGGCAGCCAAAUUGCAACAAAUACAAGAGGGCUGGGGCACUGGAGAGAGGGAGGAGUAGGAGAAAAACUGAGCCUUCCAGCACUGACUCCGCAGCAAAGACUGCAGCUUGCUCGGCUGGCUGCUGGCAGGGAAAAGCUUUCAAAGGAGGGGGCACAAGCACAAAGCAAAGCAGAGCCAUGGCUCCUGAUGUGGUGAGAAGGGAAUUCGUGAGGAAAAACAAAGAGACAAAGCACAGAAGAGAAUGGAGCCAGACAAGUUGGGAAGCGGUAGCCCAUGUGAGGGGAUGAUGGGGAAUAUGGACUCAGAGUUACUUGGGAGGUAAGUUUGACAUGAUGUGGUGACUAAUGGGUUGUGGUGGUGGUCAUAAGCUGGUCAGCCCUGAUCAUGAGCCUACUGCUAACUCCCAUGGGGAGAGGCCAAGCAGAGCAAAUCCACAAAGAAGGGCUGGCCACAGUGGUCCAAGCGCCAGAUCUAAGUGGACUGAGCCAAGUCAAGCUUGGUUCAGCCUAUACCAUAGGCUCAGAACUAAGGAGGUAGG